GAGUUUUCUGUUUUAACCCUUCAAAGACUAGCGUAAAUAAGAAGUGAUUUCCGCUUGUUUUCUCUCCUGCACACCGCUCGUUUAUUUCUGGUCAUUGGAACGAACAAACAAAGGAGAAUCAAUUGACAGAAAUAAACAGGGAUGUGCAGAAAGAGAAAAUGGGUGUGCGGAAAUCAAUUCCCAAACUGUUUCAGUUUCAUUUUACUUCACCAAGAUUGAUGACAUUGAUACUACUGCCGUAUACUUGUUUUAUAUGACCAGAUGAUGGCAGGCCACAGUGGUGGGAAUCAGAGGCCGUCCUACCUCAACCAGCAGCCAGCUGCUUUCUUCUGUCGCCAGAGUGUCAAUCCUGCUACACAGCUCUUGAUUCCACCCGGGUUUUGGUACAUGACCUGACAUAAUCACAAUCUUUGUUUAGUUCUCUUAUAACAUUGACGUAUGUUUAUUUUUGAUGUGAUGAUUCAACUUAGGCCCCAACAUAAUCAAGUUAUACAAGGUUAUGGAGCUUUUAACCCACAAGGGAACAACUCCGUACCCUAUGGAGCUGCACAAAUAAGGUACUCAUAAAUCAAAUAUUGCAAAGUGAACACGGAAACAUCUUUGUUUAUGGUAAUUUUAUUAACUUGUACACGUAUGCAUCUGAUUUAGACCCCAACCCCAAUACACCCUACAAUUGCUGAAUCAGCCACAACAAAUGAACCAAGUCCCUGAAAAUCCUUUUCAAGUAGGGGAGGAUUCCGGGUAUCUGAUCUUUCUUCUUUCCUAAUUUAUUUUUCAAAUGCGGCUUAUCAGAAAAAUAACAAUCGAUCAUAGACACAAACCUUAAUUGUAUAAUAUAAUGCAUUUAGGAUCUGGGUACUGGAAUCAUCUCUGGCAAGGUAAUGCAACAUUACCAAUUAUAUUUUCUCCUAUAUAUCAAACAAUGGCUUUUCUGUAAUAAAUAUUCAGUAAAGAUAACCAUAAACAUAAAAUGUUGAAAAGCAUAUCGUAAUACAGUUCAAUCUUAAUUUUGAAAAGCAGGGCCCCGCCUCGACAACAGGAACAAAUUAACAAAGGGAAGGCGGCCCUUGCACGGAAGGCACAAAAUUCUAAUUCUAAUCCUCCCAUGCAGUCUAGGUUAGCAAUCAAAAGUUUAAUUCUUCUAUGAAUCUAUAUAUGAAAGUGUAAUACUGCAGUAAAAAUUUGGGGGAAAUUGGUAAACAGAUUACUUGAUGGGAGGGGUGUGCUUACGAUUAUCUAUAUGUCUUUUUUAGGCCUCGUGGAGUGGCUAAGUCACGACCUUCUAUCCCUAUCCCUAUAAGGCCGAGGCCGUCUGUGCUGCCUAACAUAGCUGAUCCUCCGCAUCACAGCUCUGCGCCUUCCAAAACUCAGAUGCCCUUUAGGUACCUGCAUGAUCCUUAUUUGCUUGUAUUAUUUAUUCCUUCAGGGUAAGUACAAGGAAUUUAGAAAAGAAUGGAACAUAUUACUAAUCUUAAUAUUUCAUUUAAAGAACACAAAUUGUUUACGUAGCCCAUUAGAAACAAACCCUUCACUGAAACUAAAGGGGUGAUGCUCGACACACACAAUAGGCACCCCCCCCCUCCUCUUCUCCUCUCUUUUUUUUACCUCUCACACCCUAUUAAUUUCUGCCCUUUGAUCUCCUUCAAUUCACUCGAUCAAAAGGCUGGAAAUAGAAAGAGUGUGUAUAAAAAGAGGUGUGUGGAUAGCACCAACCAACUAAAAUACUUUGGACUAUGCAAAGGUCACCUCAUAGUUAAGAUGAUGUUGGUUUACGAUGCAAUACCAGAUCUUGGCCUGCAUCUAUCAACCUUCUCUUGGUGCUUUUACAUCCAAAACAUUUUACCCUAUGUUAAUCGCUUAAAUUUAUGAAGAAACCCUUACAGAAUUAUUUCUUUUAUUGAAAUUUUUUUUUUUUUUUGCAGAUUUCCUCCCAUCCAACUUGAAGAGAUAAUGAAUCAAUCUAAUGUUACAAGUGAUAGCAGUUUUAAGAGGAGCAGUCAACUCCAAAAGUCCCUAACUGAGCAAGUAAGAGGCUUCCUUACUCAACAAUUCAAAUAAGUUUCUGAAUCUAUCGUCAAAUAUCCUACAUUAUUUUCAUUGGGAAACUUCAUAAGGAUCACACUGAUUUUUGACUUCCCAACCAACAUGAGUCUUCACCAAGCAAUAAGAUAGCAGUAUAUAAUAUAUUGUAAGAACUCUACCAUUGUGUAUAAAGGGGUUCUCCAAUCGACAUAAACAUUCUUCGAUGCACUUAGAGAAAAAUCCUAUUAAUAUGUGGUUUCUUUACUUGAGUAUGUUUUCAUAAAUAAGGGUUCUGAAGAAUAAAAAUGUUUUAGGGAGAGAUACCAGAACAGGGGUUUUCUGAAAAACAACAUGGCAAACGACCAAUAAAAGUGUCAUCCCCGGCCAAAUCCUCAGAGGUAGCAACUUUUCAGUACUGCAUUGCAUUAGGUUUUGCAACGGUUUAACCGUGGGAAAGGGUUUCAGAAUCAACAUUGUAUUAUUAUCACUGAUGAAAUCAUC
rnacentral:lncRNA from 1 species